GAUGAACGCUGGCGGCGUGCUUAACACAUGCAAGUCGAACGAAGCACUUUGAAAGCUUGCUUUUAAAGUGACUGAGUGGCGGACGGGUGAGUAACGCGUGGGUAACCUGCCUCACACAGGGGGAUAACAGUUAGAAAUGACUGCUAAUACCGCAUAAGCCCCCGGUAUCGCAUGGUACAGAGGGAAAAGAUUUAUCGGUGUGAGAUGGACCCGCGUCUGAUUAGCUAGUUGGUGGGGUAACGGCCUACCAAGGCGACGAUCAGUAGCCGACCUGAGAGGGUGACCGGCCACAUUGGGACUGAGACACGGCCCAAACUCCUACGGGAGGCAGCAGUGGGGAAUAUUGCACAAUGGGCGCAAGCCUGAUGCAGCGACGCCGCGUGAGUGAAGAAGUAUUUCGGUAUGUAAAGCUCUAUCAGCAGGGAAGAUAAUGACAGUACCUGACUAAGAAGCUCCGGCUAAAUACGUG
rnacentral:rRNA from 1 species